UCGAAGCUAGUGUGAGGGAGCGGCGAACGGGUGAGUAACACGUUGGUACGUGCCCCAAACUCAGGGAUAGCCCACUGAAAAGUGGAUUAAUACCGGAUAGUCCCGAAAGGGUAAAGAUUUUUCGGUUUGGGAGCGGCCUGCGGUCUAUCAGCUUGUUGGUAAGGUAAAAGCUUACCAAGGCUAUGACGGAUAUCUGGUGUGAGAGCAUGACCAGACACAAUGGAACUGAGACACGGUCCAUACUCC
rnacentral:rRNA from 1 species